rnacentral:lncRNA from 1 species
GGGACAAAUGAGCCCACCUCCACUGUAGACACUGGGAGCCACAUUCUCAAAAUGAGUAACUGCAGGGAAGAGACAGAAUUCUCACAAGAGGGCAUAUCCUCCGCCCUUCAUACAUUUCUCCUGUAACACCCUUCUGGUUGAAAAGAAAUAAGAAAGCUGUGCUUGACUUUUGCUCUAGUGCUUUUUAAGAUCAAGCAGGAAUCUUACAUUCUUUCAUUGCCUUUCACAUUUCUUUUCCUUCUUCCGUGUCCUCUUUCUUUUUAAAUUCAGAUCAUUUAACAGACAAGGGUCAUAGCUAAAAAUAAAUCUUCAUUGACCUGAGCUACCUAUGAUGUCAUUUACUGUAUUCAUAGGUCUCCAGAGUCAACACUCCAGGCAUGUAGACACACACAGGAGAAUAAAACCUCAGUUCCCAGGCAGCUUCCAGAAGCUGUGGCAUUGCUGUGGCCUGAGGCCUGGACUUUCCCAGGGGAUAGGUAUCCAGAUCGUUUGUGCCCUUCCAUAUCACCUUUCAUUCAGAGGCCUUACCUGGAUUGGUAGCCAAGCAUUGAUACUCAUGCCUCCCCAAAGAGAGCUCGUGGCACAGAGGAAAAUGGACAUAAGGUAGCGGUAACAGGCUGGCGACUGUGGCUUUUACACAUUGCUUCACACAACCCUGUCCAGGAGUUUUACACACUCACUAAACAAACAGAAGACACCAUCCAAUUCACUGGAGCCCCGUUGGAUAAAUACGGAAAGAAUGUGGGAGCUAUGUCAUGAACCACAAUGGUUUUGUGUUCUGUGUAAUUUGAAGACGAGAUUCCUUUGCUGUGUGUCACCUCCCAUAUUACCACUGUCGCCCAACAUUUCAUAACCAUCAACUCUUUGCCAGUGCCCACAUGCAAAGAUGGGUUUGUAUUAAAAAAUAAAUGAGAACAGCACAUUCUGAUGUGGUGUAGUAUAUCAGCAUUUUCCAUGAAACCUCGUCUCCGGCCUUCCCCUUUUAGGAAACAAAGGACCCGUGACAGAGCCUACUUAUCCCGUUACAGCUCCUGGUGAGAAGGGCGAAGCCAUGUCAGAAAUAAUAGAAAAGGCUUUUUCCUUUGAAAUAUCUAAACGUUCAAAGAUGGGAACAGCCGCAGGGGGGAGAAUACUGUGCUAUGCAAGUUGAUCUGAUUUUGUGGACCAUCCAUUUCCAAUUGGGAAGCUCACUUACUUUCAACUUGAAGCAUCAGAAAACCAGACUUACAGCAGCUUCAGCCUAUAGGGGUUUAUUUUUCUCAUGUAACAAGAAGAACAGAAGUGGACAGAGGCCGAGUUCUCAAGGACUCAGUUUCUUUCUGUCCCACCAACCUUACCAUGUUGGAUUGUCAUCUUUGUGCUUGUUGCCUCAUGAUGGCAAGAUGGCUGCAGCACCUCUGGGACUCACGACUGAUUUUUAAGACUACAGAGCCUAAGUCAAAGCUUGUUCUUGGACCCAGGAAAUAUGUCAAAUCCUUCCAGUGAAUGGUGCCUUUCAGGAUUGGAGACUACUCCCCCAGUUGCUGAUGGUGUGGUCAGCCCUCAGUUUUCAGUCCUCUUUGGGAAUUGCCUUGGAUGAAGAAAGUCACCUCACCCAAGAUCACUCCAACUCCUGGGACCCACAUCCAAUGAUUGGCCAAUAUGGGGACUCAAAGGCCUGGUCCCCCUUCCCCAACUUGAGACUACUCUGAAGGAUCACCCAGCUUCAGAGCUUCCCAUGGUUGAGACUUUUAGACUUCACUGUGGUCCAACCAAUCUCUUCCUAUACACGGUCCUGACUCCUUCACUUCCCUCCCAGCACUUCUUCUGUGUUAAUAUCAAACUUCUGUGCUAAUAACAAACUUCUUCCGUGCUAAUAUCUCUCAGUGUCUCCUUCCCUGGGAACUCAACCCUAGAUUGUUUAUACCAGCAGUGAUCCAAGAAAGAGAUGCCAACAUGAGAUUUUGGAAUUGGAUCACCUACCAUCCAGCUGGCAGUGCAGACCCCAUCAGUGGCAGUAGAAGAAGUACAUAUAGUCCGUAGCACAAGAUAGCAGUGAAAUUGUUAAAACUUUUGCCAAUGGUGAACUAGAAUGGUAUUCCCAUGGAAGGAAAUGCACCAGAGGGUGUGACCUAUCAGGUGGUUGAGAAAUAUGGGGAGAAUUACCACAAGGACAAUUCAAUUAGGUGGCUUUCACUAAGGAUAAUUAACACUUUGAAAAAAAUAAUGAAAUGUUGAAAAGGAUUCAUCAGCAAUUGAAAACUGAGUGGAGCUCAUAGGGAUACUCUCAUCCCUUGCACCUGGAGGAAAGGGAAAGCUGAGGACCAGGUACAUGGUGUAAUCCUAAUAGUAGCAGAGUGCAGGCCGGGUGCGGUGGCUCAUGCCUAUAAUCCCAGCACUCUGGGAGGCCA